AAUUCUAAAGCACCGAUUAAUUCAAGAAAAUUUGGAGAGAGAGAGAAUAGGAAGCAGCCAAGUUUCAGAAGCGCCUCGACCUUUCCAACAGUCCUCGUCAUGCCCGGGGAGACCCAGAUCGUUCUCGAAUUCUCCCUCGUUUCCACACUUCUGUCUAUAUUACACUCUUCGUCCUCCUAGCUGCCCACGCCAAACUCGAAACUGCAAAUUCAACACCCGGCUGAAAAAUUCGAAGGAGAGCAGAGAAAGAACAGAGAAGAACGUCGUUUUGAGUGCUCUAUCGAGGUUUUGCUCCGUCGGUUUGCGUAGUCAACCGUAGAAAUGGCGUCCUGCGCGGCUCAAAUCCACAGUCUGGGUCUAACUCGAACUGGGUCGUCUUCAAGAACCCCCAAGAGACCGAAUCGCCGAUCAAGUUCGUUGUUUUUUGGAGAGGCUCUCGAUUCAAGAAGGCUCUCGUUCUUGAAGCUCAGGGCCAAAGGUCCGAAUACAAGGAGGAGGAGCAGUGUGGGACCGGUGAGAGUGGUGAGUGAGAAAGUGGUGGGCAUCGAUUUGGGGACGACGAACUCGGCGGUGGCGGCGAUGGAGGGAGGGAAGCCCACCAUUGUGACCAACGCCGAGGGGCAGAGGACCACGCCUUCCGUUGUCGCGUACACGAAGAGCGGUGACCGGCUUGUCGGGCAGAUAGCGAAGCGGCAGGCUGUGGUGAACCCGGAAAACACCUUCUUCUCGGUGAAGAGGUUCAUCGGGAGGAAGAUGUCCGAGGUGGAUGAGGAGGCCAAGCAGGUUUCGUAUAAGGUGGUAAGGGAUGAGAAUGGGAAUGUCAAGUUCGAGUGCCCUGCUAUUGGUAAGCAGUUCGCUGCUGAGGAGAUUUCUGCUCAGGUACUGAGAAAGCUUGUGGAUGAUGCUUCCAAGUUCCUGAAUGACAAAGUAACUAAAGCAGUGGUCACUGUUCCUGCUUACUUCAACGACUCGCAAAGGACUGCAACAAAGGAUGCUGGACGUAUCGCUGGCUUAGAAGUGCUCCGCAUUAUUAAUGAACCCACUGCUGCAUCACUGGCAUAUGGGUUUGAAAAGAAAAACAAUGAGACCAUUCUGGUGUUCGACCUUGGCGGUGGAACUUUUGAUGUCUCAGUUCUUGAGGUUGGAGAUGGAGUCUUCGAAGUGCUUUCAACAUCUGGAGACACACAUUUGGGUGGCGAUGACUUUGACAAGAGAAUUGUGGAUUGGAUAGCCUCAGACUUCAAGAGAGAUGAAGGUAUAGAUCUUUUGAAGGACAAGCAAGCGCUUCAAAGGUUGACUGAGGCUGCUGAGAAAGCUAAAAUCGAAUUGUCAUCUUUAACCCAGACGAACAUGAGCUUGCCGUUUAUUACUGCAACUGCAGAUGGACCGAAGCACAUUGAAAAGACACUGACAAGGGUCAAAUUUGAGGAGUUGUGUUCGGACUUACUUGACAGGCUUAAAACACCAGUUGAAACUGCUUUAAGAGAUGCUAAGCUCACCUUCAAGGAUCUGGAUGAGGUUAUCCUUGUUGGAGGUUCGACACGUAUUCCAGCCGUUCAGGAGCUUGUUCGGAAGACGACUGGGAAGGAACCCAAUGUCACUGUCAACCCCGACGAGGUUGUUGCACUUGGAGCUGCUGUUCAGGCUGGUGUUUUGGCUGGAGAUGUUAGCGACAUUGUUCUUUUAGAUGUGACACCACUAUCUCUUGGUUUGGAGACACUAGGUGGUGUCAUGACCAAGAUCAUUCCAAGGAACACGACUCUCCCGACUUCUAAAUCAGAAGUUUUCUCUACUGCGGCUGAUGGUCAAACUAGUGUUGAGAUUAAUGUCCUUCAAGGAGAGAGGGAGUUUGUUAGGGAUAAUAAAUCCCUUGGCAGCUUCCGCCUUGACGGUAUCCCGCCAGCACCUCGAGGUGUCCCUCAAAUCGAGGUCAAGUUUGAUAUCGAUGCCAACGGAAUCCUUUCUGUUACUGCUGUGGAUAAAGGAACGGGAAAGCAGCAAGACAUUACUAUUACUGGUGCCAGCACUUUGCCUAAUGAUGAGGUGGAUAGGAUGGUGAAGGAAGCGGAGAAGUUUGCGAAGGCGGACAAAGAGAAGAGGGAUGCCAUAGACACGAAGAACCAGGCGGACUCCGUGGUGUACCAGACCGAAAAGCAGCUCAAGGAGCUGGGAGAUAAGGUCCCCGGCCCUGUGAAAGAGAAGGUUGAGGCCAAAUUAAAGGAGCUGAAGGACACGAUAUCAAGUGGUUCGACCCAAGCCAUAAAGGACGCGAUGGCUGCACUUAACCAGGAGGUGAUGCAGCUCGGUCAGUCCCUGUAUAGCCAACCCGGUGCCGCCGGUGCAGGCCCAGCACCAGGCGCCGGAGCCGGGACUUCGGACUCCUCAAGCGAAAAGGGUCUGGAUGGAGAUGUCAUCGAUGCAGAUUUCACCGAUAGCAAGUGAGAGAACAGAGGUUUGGUGCACUGUGGUUUCUUCUUGCUGGUUCUUCGAACUCGAGUAAAAUGAUCAUCGCCCCGUCGGAAUUCUACAGUUACUUAAACCUUCGGCUAGGAGAAUUGAGUAUAUAUGUGUACAGGAAGAUAGAAGAUACAAGUUGCUUCUCUUUUGGUUUACUCCCUGACUAACGAUCUGCAGAAAUAUAAG